rnacentral:rRNA from 1 species
UACGUAGGGUGCAAGCGUUGUCCGGAAUUAUUGGGCGUAAAGAGCUUGUAGGCGGUUUGUCGCGUCUGCUGUGAAAUUUCGGGGCUCAACCCCGAACUUGCAGUGGGUACGGGCAGACUAGAGUGUGGUAGGGGAGACUGGAAUUCCUGGUGUAGCGGUGAAAUGCGCAGAUAUCAGGAGGAACACCGAUGGCGAAGGCAGGUCUCUGGGCCAUAACUGACGCUGAGAAGCGAAAGCAUGGGGAGCGAACAGGG